rnacentral:rRNA from 1 species
AUUGAACGCUGGCGGCAGGCCUAACACAUGCAAGUCGAGCGGUAACAGAAAGCAGCUUGCUGCUUUGCUGACGAGUGGCGGACGGGUGAGUAAUGUCUGGGAAACUGCCUGAUGGAGGGGGAUAACUACUGGAAACGGUAGCUAAUACCGCAUAACGUCGCAAGACCAAAGAGGGGGACCUUCGGGCCUCUUGCCAUCGGAUGUGCCCAGAUGGGAUUAGCUAGUAGGUGGGGUAAAGGCUCACCUAGGCGACUAUCCCUAGCUGGUCUGAGAGGAUGACCAGCCACACUGGAACUGAGACACGGUCCAGACUCCUACGGGAGGCAGCAGUGGGGAAUAUUGCACAAUGGGCGCAAGCCUGAUGCAGCCAUGCCGCGUGUAUGAAGAAGGCCUUCGGGUUGUAAAGUACUUUCAGCGGGGAGGAAGGGAGUAAAGUUAAUACCUUUGCUCAUUGACGUUACCCGCAGAAGAAGCACCGGCUAACUCCGUG